rnacentral:rRNA from 1 species
CCCUUAGAUGUUCUGGGCCGCACGCGCGCUACACUGAUGCAUUCAACGAGUCUAAAACCUGGUCUGAUAGGGCUGGGUAAUCUUUUGAAUGUGCAUCGUGAUUGGGAUAGAUGAUUGCAAUUCUUCAUCUUCAACGAGGAAUGCCUAGUAAACGCAAGUCAUCAGCUUGCAUUGAUUACGUCCCUGCCCUUUGUACACACCGCCCGUCGCUCCUACCGAUUGAAUGUUCCGAUGAAUACCAUGGACUGAGAGUAUGAAUGGGUUCGCCUAUUUCUGCUUCUCGGGAAGUGGAGUAAAUCUUAACAUUGAGAGGAAGGAGAAGGCGUAACA